GUUGGAGUAACCCCAGAGUGCAGUCUGGACGAUGGGGCGGGGCGACACUUCGAGGCGGAGCGACACGUGUCGCCCCGCCCAUAUUUGUUUUCCCCGCCUUUGACAUUUUCCUCCGAGCCAGCAGGGGGCAGUUUGCGUUGAAACAAACAGAACGGUGGCAACUACAGCAGCAGAGUAAUAACGCUAUUCCGUUGAUUGCUUGAGGUGAGUAAAAGUGGUUGUGUAAAUAUCUUAUAAUAUGAAAUGCGAUGUUCGAUCAUUUAUUUAUCCAUGGUACGUUCAAUUUGAAUAAUUAUUGUUAAUAAUUGUUAUAAAUUGCUCAUUUUAUUGUUCUUUGUGGAUUGUAACAGUACACUCUGUACAUGGCUUUAGUUCAUAGGUUCGAUUUUACAGAGGUAUGGCAUCACAUUUGUCAAGUUAUUUGAACAGACAUGCAUGAUUUUUGUGUGUAUAUUAUUAUUAUUAUUAUUUUUCAGGAUGACAUGAUCAGGAGGUGGUGGUGUUCUGUUCUCCUGGACAGCUUUACUCCGCAAAUAGCUCAACCACUGAGGGGAGGAACUUCACCAUUCACCAUGUCUUCAGGCAGAGUCCAGCAAAGCAGCUUCCACUGGAAAUCCUCAGGGAAGUUAUUUUGUCGGCGGGUGACUCUGCAUAUUUGACACUUUCUCUGGUUUGCAGAUGGUUUAGGGUUGUGCUCCGAAGUUUUUCGGAAAGCGGCACAGUUUGCCUGGCUACAGAUUGUGGCCAACUGGAAGAAUUGUCCUCCUGUCUCCUGACCGGAACGAGUUCAGACGGAUGUACAGCAUCAGGGAACGCUUGCAGUGCAGAGCCCUUUUCAAGUUUAACCCACCAGGGUACAAGGAAGAGACCGGCGUGGUGAUCUUCUGGGCUUUUGUUUACACAGGAUUUUGUUCCAAGGACUGUUUUUUUUUUUUUUUUUUUUUUUUUUUUUUUUUUUUGCGGCAUGAAACACAUUUGUGUGUUAAGUUCAUUGAAGGGAAAUAGAGAAUGGGCUGAGAUCAACUGGUUUUGAUUAUUAAUUGAUGUAAUUUAAAGUUAAACUUUGCACUGUAUAAUGUUUUAAUAAAAAAGCUAUGGAAAACA